UACGGAGGGUGCAAGCGUUAAUCGGAAUUACUGGGCGUAAAGCGUGCGCAGGCGGUUUGUUAAGUCUGCUGUGAAAUCCCCGAGCUCAACUUGGGAAUUGCAGUGGAUACUGGCAAGCUGGAGUACGGUAGAGGAAGGUGGAAUUCCCGGUGUAGCAGUGAAAUGCGUAGAGAUCCGGAGGAACACCAGUGGCGAAGGCGGCGUCCUGGCCUGCGACUGACGCUGUGGCGCGAAAGCUAGGGGAGCGAACGGG
rnacentral:rRNA from 1 species